rnacentral:rRNA from 1 species
AUGGCGCUAGCUCUGCGGCUCCUCCUCGCGCUCCUGGCAAUUGGAUCCUGCAUAGCUGCCGACCACGUCGACCUGUGGCCGAUGCCCAAGUCGGUGUCCCACGGGACGCAGAGGCUCUACGUCAGCAACAACGCCACCAUGUCGAUGGCGGGAAGCAAGUAUUCCGACGGCAAGGCGAUCCUCAAGGACGCCUUCCAAAGGAUGCUCGAUUUGAUGAAGCUCAACCACAACGCUGACGGUGCAAACCCAAGCUCCUCCCUGCUUACCGGUGUUAACAUAGUCGUUCUUUCGACACAAGAUGAGCUCGGUUUCGAGGUGGACGAGUCAUACAACCUGACUGUUCCUACAAUAGGGGAGCCACUGCAUGCGCAGAUUGAGGCUCAAACAGUUUUUGGAGCACUUCACGCCUUACAGACAUUUAGCCAACUGUGUCACUUUGAGUUCACAUCAAGGCUUAUUGGACUCAACUCAGCUCCGUGGAUGAUUAGUGAUGCGCCCAGAUUUCCUUACCGAGGCCUUCUUAUUGAUACCUCAAGGCAUUAUCUUCCUCUCGCGACAAUUAAAGGAGUGAUUGAUGCAAUGACAUACAGUAAACUGAAUGUUCUCCAUUGGCAUAUCGUGGAUGAGCAGUCAUUUCCGAUUGAAAUACCUUCAUACCCAAAACUGUGGAACGGUUCAUACUCAUAUUCUGAGAGAUACACAAUGCCUGAUGCCAUCGACAUCGUACGAUAUGCUGAAAAAAGAGGUGUAAAUGUCUUGGCCGAGAUUGAUGUUCCUGGCCAUGCUCGCUCAUGGGGUGUUGGCUACCCAGAAUUGUGGCCAUCAGAUAGCUGCAGAGAACCGCUUGAUGUCAGUAACAACUUUACCUUCAAAGUUAUUGAUGGUAUUCUUUCAGAUUUUAGCAAGGUUUUCAAAUUCAAAUUUGCCCACUUAGGAGGUGAUGAAGUCAAUACAAGCUGCUGGACUGAAACACCCCACAUUAAGGAAUGGUUGAAUAAUAACCACAUGAAUGUGUCGGAUGCAUACAGAUAUUUUGUGUUAAGAGCCCAAAAGAUAGCAAUAUCACAUGGAUACGAAGUCAUUAACUGGGAAGAAACGUUUAACAACUUCGGAGAUAAGUUGGACCGUAAAACUGUGGUGCAUAACUGGCUUGGGGGGGAUGUAGCACCAAAAGUGGUUGCUGCAGGGCUGAGAUGCAUAGUAAGCAACCAGGAUAAGUGGUACCUAGAUCACUUGGAUGCCACAUGGGAAGGAUUUUACCUGAAUGAACCCCUGAAAGGAAUCAACAACACAGAACAGCAACGGUUGGUUAUUGGUGGUGAGGUUUGCAUGUGGGGAGAGCAAAUCGAUGCAUCGGAUAUUGAACAAACUAUUUGGCCACGUGCUGCAGCAGCUGCAGAGAGACUGUGGAGUCCACUUGAGCAGAUUGCUGAAGACACCAGGUCAGCCACAUCAAGACUGUCACGCUUCAGGUGUUUGCUGAAUCAGAGAGGGGUAGCUGCUGCACCACUAGCUGGCGAUGGCCGUACAGCACCAUAUGAACCUGGUCCCUGUGUAAGGCAAUAG